CACUGUGAAUCAAGACCAAAUUCGUGAC
rnacentral:piRNA from 1 species